UCUCCUCAAUGCCGCAAUAAUGAUAUAGCACGUACACGUUCGGACCGUGAAGUGAUACCGAAACAGUUAAUAGCACUGGACAACGAAGUCGAAGUAUCAUUAAAUAUGACGUGUCGUACAUCGAUGAAUCUUUCGAGUAAAUGAAACGGUGUAUUUCUCAUUUUAUGGGCACUAGCAGCAAAACUUAUACUUAAGAUCAGUCCGUACGUCGUCAAUAACCCUGGUUAACUGAUGGUAUGAAGAAGCAUGGGAGCUAGCGAUGAUGUGAGAAGAACGAAAAUCGCUUGAGAACCAAACUUUGAGAUAUUACGAUGUGUGCUUCUCACCACGCGGGAUCAAUGUGACCAACCUUUACUGCAAGUCAUCUUCUCGAAUUAAUCGAUGGUAAUCGGUGCGCAAUCUUAAAUAUUGGCAGGCAGACUGAGGAAUUGAAGAAGUUGGAGGCAUCCGCACUGCCUGGAAACACAUCAAGACAGACCUACCUACCUCGUCUGCUCAGUCGAAUAAAACCUCGAAAAACAAAAGUGAAUUAGUAAAAAAAUGUUUGGUACCUUUAAAACCCGCCAAGUCUGCCAAUCACGAACUGAGCGAAAAACAUGAACAGGUGGUCCACAGAAGAUAUUGGACGGUAGUUAGCACCCCGGAUUUGUCCUUUAUUCUGAGAUGGAAAAGUAAAUUUCGGGUCCUUCAAUCCCAGGAAGGACCCGGCCGGAGCACAUGCGAAGAGAUAUGUUGUUCUACGAUAUGCUGACUAUACUGUUUACAAGUUUACAACGGAUCGUUCAGAACAUUAGCAGUUUCGUAGCACCAUCAAUUUCGCCUCUAGUUUCCGGAGUCAUGUGGAUGUUAAGCACGCUAACGGAAUCUAGCUCGGUUCAUCUAUCAAAUCUAUGUCAUCUUUGUCCGAACGUGAACACGGACAUUGGAAGUGGUAACAGUGAUAGAGCUAACGGUUGCAACAUGUCUGUUAAGUUCAUCAGCUAUCCCCAUGAGGAUUCUAUGUCUAAAAUUCAGAGAAAACCGUUUCUCUACUAAAAGACUCUCCAAUAAAUCUUUACAAAUACCGAAAAUCGACGCUAUUUGUACAACUUGUUGAUAUUGUGCCCAAGCCGACAUGAUUCAGAACCAUGGGGUGGUACAACAACUGAUCCAUCUACCGCCGUCACCGUUCCGACAUCUGCUUCCACCUCUCAUGCAAUAUGUCGCCACCGGAAACAAAGCCUUGUAUGUGAAUGCUGCAAAUUAGGCCCAUGUAACAUUCGCGAAAUCCUUAGCUACUGCAACAAUCCACCCUCAGACGCAGAAAAACGAAUCUAUCAAACCGACAUAAUGGGCCUCUUCUCAUAGCUUCGCCGGUCAAUGUGGUUAUGAUUAUGGCGGAAAUCAUAUAUUUACUAUUUGGAGAAAACGCUGUAAGUAAACCGACCGAUUUCUGAAACGGGUUUUUCAGCACGGAUCAGCAUACAUUUUUAUGUUUAGUCAUUCGUCAAAAUGAUGAGCUUUUAAAAGUAAAAGAUAGAACCUCUUGAACGCGUUGUAGGACACUGUGAACCGCAAACCAAGGCUCAUAAGUGCUUUGAUGGUUUCCGUCUAAAUAAUGGUCUGGCUGAUAUCGGUUUUAUGGGUACAAGGAGAAAAUUACUCAUCUGAAGAGGAAUGUAUUUGAUUAAGAAACAAUGUUUAAUUGAUAAAGGUGAACAUAAUACUCAUGACGAGUAUUAGGGUUGAAAUAUUACCGAAGAGUUUCGAAGUGUUUCUAAUUCUGCGUAAAUUGUAAACGAAUAAUAACAAUCGAAUUGGAUGGUUAACGUCCUUUCAGUUAUAAUUAGGUGCAACCUAGGCAUGCGCAGCUUAUAUUUCCACGCUCUGACCUGUGUCUGAAAUAAACAAAAAAAUAUACUCAUAUAUCGAGAAUCGG